rnacentral:rRNA from 1 species
CAGUAGCCGCGGGAAUACGAAGGGGGCUAGCGUUGCUCGGAAUUACUGGGCGUAAAGGGAGCGUAGGCGGACAUUUAAGUCAGGGGUGAAAUCCCAGAGCUCAACUCUGGAACUGCCUUUGAUACUGGGUGUCUUGAGUGUGAUAGAGGUAUGUGGAACUCCGAGUGUAGAGGUGAAAUUCGUAGAUAUUCGGAAGAACACCAGUGGCGAAGGCGACAUACUGGAUCAUUACUGACGCUGAGGCUCGAAAGCGUGGGGAGCAAACAGGAUUAGAUACCCGUGUAGUCCCUGUCUCUUAUAC